UGCCAGUGUAUAGGUAGUGACAAAUACAUCAGAAAAUUGAGAUGGAAAGGGAUUCAACUACUUGAAAAAUACAAGUAAAACUUCGACGUUUCGAGCUUAGUAACAUGGUCGGUGAAAUACAUGUGCUUUUAUACUGGUGCACGCGGUAUUUAACAAUUAAUAGACAACGAAGCCGAGUUGUCUAUGAGCGAAUAGUCAACGAGGCGAAGCCGAGUUGACUAUUCGCUCAGAGACAACGAGGCCUUGUUGACAACUACUCAGUGUUGCGAACUCUCAAGAAUGACUUGAAAAAUACUAUUUGUGAGUUUUAAAAAAGUUAAAAAACAUGUCGUAAUACAGUAUAAUAGUGAGGAGUCGUUAUACAAGCAAAGUUCGGCUAAUUAAAAGAAG